ACGUGUGCCCUUCCGAUCUGCCACGCUAAUCCUAAUCCCUAAGCCUCGUCUCGGCUUACACACGUACAGGACAUACACAAGACGCACCAGCCAGUACCAGGUGACAAGUUAACACGAACUUGACUAACAAGAAAAACCCAAUCACUCACUCCUCACCCGGGGCACCAUGUUUUGGUCGUUUGAUCAGAGUUCUUCUCUAACUUCAAUCGGAAUGGGAUGAGUGAGUGAGAGGGUAAAUAAAUAAAUAACACAAUUUCGCGGGAAAGACAAGACGCUUGCUUCGGCAUAAAAACCCUCACGGUGCAGAGGGAAAAGCCGAAGCAAGACCAGUGUUUAUUAACUGCCAAUCAGAUCAUCAUAAAACAGGAUAAUACAGCCGCUGGUGCGUUCCUUGUCAACCAGAUUGAAUGAUCAUUCAAUGAUCUUAAGCCAACUUAUCUAAGUCUCCAUGAGAAACCGUGCUCCGCAACUUCCACGCACUCGUGGAAGCCGGGAGUGGGGAGCGUCAAGGUGGCCCAAUGCCGUGCAAACAGCGGUCCCGACGUCUCGGGAACCAACGCUGAAGCAAUGA